rnacentral:rRNA from 1 species
UACGUAGGGUGCGAGCGUUGUCCGGAAUUAUUGGGCGUAAAGAGCUCGUAGGCGGUUUGUUGCGUCGGCUGUGAAAUCCCGAGGCUCAACCUCGGGUCUGCAGUCGAUACGAGCAAACUAGAGUGUUGCAGGGGAGACUGGAAUUCCUGGUGUAGCGGUGAAAUGCGCAGAUAUCAGGAGGAACACCGGUGGCGAAGGCGGGUCUCUGG